AUUGGCAAGCGAUUCGCAAGCAUCAGUGUGGAUAAUGUCGAAGCGAACAGGCGUAUUCUUCGCGAGCUCCUAUUCACUGCCCCUGGUUGUCUAGAAUGCCUCAGUGGUGUGAUCUUGUUUGAGGAAACACUGUACCAAAAAACUGCUGCAGGUGCUCUAGAUGCUAAUUGUUUCUAACAUUUUGAACAUACAUUGCAAUCAUGCUAGUGCUAACACUUCAAUUUUUAUUUUUCAUUUCGCUAAUUGUUAAAAUAGCGUUUCUCCAACUGAACUUACAAAUUGAUUUUGUAAAGAUGAAUUAAGUUCAAUAUUAAAACUUAAUAUAGUGUCAGAGUCUAUUCAUCUUCACAUCCAUAUCUAUAUUCACGUACCAAACUCAAUAGUUCUGAACAUGAAAGGUGUGUUGAGAAAAACUUAAGUUUCACAUUGAAUAUACAUAAAGUCUAAAAUUAGCUUAUAAAGAGUGACACUGCACACUUUAAAAUCUAUUAGCGGGAGCCGUGAAGUGGAUUAUUGAUUAAGUGUGGGGUGUGAACAUAGUUAGGAUGCUUUUCUUUAAAGAAAAUCAUAAUGUUAUUGAUGAUCUUGAACAUAUUUGUGUAUAGGAGAACCCUUUGUAGAGGUAUUGAAGAAAGGUGGAGUUCUUCCUGGUAUUAAGGUUGACAAGGGAACUGUUGAACUUCCUGGUACAAAUGGAGAAACCACAACUCAAGGUUUAGAUGAUCUUGGUCAAAGGUGCAAGAAGUACUAUGAAGCCGGGGCAAGGUUUGCAAAAUGGCGCGCGGUCCUAAAGAUCGGUCCAAACGAACCAUCUCCAUUGUCCAUCCACGAAAACGCCUAUGGUUUAGCUCGUUACGCCGUCAUAUGCCAAGAGAAUGGCCUUGUUCCAAUUGUGGAGCCUGAGAUUCUAGUAGAUGGAUCACACGACAUCCAAACGUGCGCUGAUGUAACCGAGCGCGUCCUCGCAGCGUGUUACAAGGCUCUUAGUGACCACCAUGUUCUUCUUGAAGGCACCCUUUUGAAGCCAAACAUGGUCACACCAGGAUCAGAUUCAGCAAAGGUUGCUCCUGAGGUUAUAGCCGAACACACGGUUCGAGCAUUGUUGCGAACCGUUCCAGCUGCAGUUCCUGCUAUAGUUUU
rnacentral:lncRNA from 1 species